ensembl:lncRNA
CUAAUCGUACAGCAGAACUCAGAUUGGUUUUUUAGAAACUCAAUCUCAGUUGUCCAUCAGAGUACUUCUAGUAUUAAACCUUCUUAGUAUAUAAAAAAGAAAUCCUUGCCCAUGCUACCAUUUCCUGAUUGAGAUGACCUAAAAAACAUCUGUUGCUUAUCCAUGCCUUGGGUACAGAGCAGUGUAGGUAAAAGCUUCCCUGCUGAUGUGCCCAGCCUGGUUCAUAAGGAUAUUCUUUGAAGGAUGGCCCAACCUGAAGAGGUACCUGGACAGCUGCACCAUAGCCUAACAAGAAUGAGAACUGAACAUGAAAGGUGAAAAAAUAAUUGUGAAAAGACCUCUGCACAGCCACAAUUUCAAAAGACAGUAUUUUUUUUGCCUUAAUUUACACCGUAGAAUCUAAAUUUGGCGCUUGAAGUACCUUCAGCAACUUCUAAUGCAGAUUCACUCCUAAAUUUUAGGAGACAGAAAAUGAUGUUUUAUCACAGAUUAGUUGGUAGUUUCCCAUCUCCUGUUUUAAAGUCUGUCAAUCUGACCGUUUUUUUAUUAAUUUAUUCAGUAGCUAUGGUGACAGUUCAUCUCUGUCAAUCAGCAGCAAAGGUCUAAGCCAUACCUCUCUGAAAACAAUUCCAGAAAUACAAUGUUCUGUAGAUAAAACAAUUAUGAGACUGGAUUAACAUUAACAAAAUUAAUAUGUAUUCUCACAGUGAGAUUAUGCUCAUCUCCCUAUGACAUUUAUUUUUGCCAUCGCACAAGUGCACACAGUAAGAAAAUGAAACCAUCUGCACUGAGCAUUAGGAUCACACUACCCAAACCCAAGGAGAGAAGACUGAUGCUGGGAAAACAGGACAAAACAGAUGAAAUUUUAAAUGAUUUUUUCCUCUACUAAUAUUUCAUGCUGGUCUCCUUCACAGGAUUAGUUCCCAAAUAGCCUCUGACUACAUGAAUUGCUCCACAAAUUGUCUCACAGAGCCAUACAGUGUUAUCAUCAAAAAAUAUAUAUUUAAUAAUACAGCUAUCACAAUCAAAAUCUCGAGAAUUAAAAUCCUCCAUGAUCAAAGUUCUGGCUCUCUUGCAGACUUUUUUUCUUUUAAAUCAGCAAUACAUGUUGUUAUCUGCUUUUCUUAACUGCCCUCAAGGGUUACAAUAACUGGAUUAUUUUAUUGUUCUUAUCUAUUAAAGCUUUCCAGUGUACCAGACAAAAUACUUAACUAGCUCUCUGUUGGCAGCCCAAUACCAUCUCGCAUCGAUUGAACCAAAAGAUUCCUUUGCCUUAUCUUGUUCAGUGUAGACCAGAUUUCCUGCUGCUCACUGCUAAAAAUAUUUAGUGAUUUUACUUCCCAAGGAAGCUCUGAUUUCUGUUCAGUAGACUGUACUGGGUAUGGUCUAGGGAAAUUUUUUUUCUAUGUUUGUUGUUUUUAUCCUUUGUCUUCCAAUUCCCAUUCGUUCUGACAAGUUAAGUAUUAUUGGGACCUACAGUUGGACUCUCUCUUCCUUCACCUCCUCUUUCUUUUCGCAUCUAGCCUAGAAGUGUUUGCUGCCUACUUUAAAUAAAUAGUUAAUGUACAUUCUCCUCACAGGUCUCCUAAGCAUCUUUGAACAGCAGUUCUACCAGUGUCACUGUUCCACAUGCAUGCAAAAUCACUCAGAAAUCUGACUGUAAACCUGUAUUAGCAGCAGUUCCUAUCACAGCAGGAACAUCUUCACGCUGUGUUACCAGAGAAAGAACUAAGGAUAAAGACAGAUACGAAGCUAAUAUGUCUGAGAAGGUGAUAAAGCACUGCAAGGCAGCUCUAUUAAUAACUGCAUAUAUCUGAGUCAGAUAGAGGGAAAUAAGAGGGCCACAACUGUUACAGGAUACAUCCAACCUUUUUUCCCCUUACCUAACAAAUGAAGGAAUUACUAUGCCAUGAACUGACACAAUACGAAUAGGGGUAUUUCCUACUGAUACUUCAGUUGAGAACACUUUUCAUUAUCACCAACUUUAACAUACCAGCAAAAGAUCAACUCACUAUAAUUCUGAGUACUUUGGUCAUUAUAAACAAUAUACUGUUGCAAUAUACUUCAAUGGUAGGGACAAAAAACCUUGUACAUUCAAAGUGCAAUAUUUUCUAAAAAAGAUAUCAGAUGGCUGAUGAGAUUUGGGGUUGUUCUGAAGAAAAUGCUGUGCUGGAAAAUCCAAGACUAAAAGCUAAUGAUGAAUUUGUAAAGCACUCAAGAUCACCUACACAACACGGAAGAAGCCAAGAAAGGACAGAUAACAGAGCAAUUCUCAACUGACAGUUCGAAGAAUCAAUUUUUGUUUUUAUCUCACUUGCUAUGAAAUUAAUGAGGUUUUCAUAGUAUAGUAGUGCAAAGACCUACCAUCUGUGUAAAUUCCUGAACUCACUGAAUUUUCCUUUGUCUGGCACCUUCUGUACUGCCCAGCAGUGUUCCCACUUUGUUUAUACAUUUGACAGUCUAAGCGUAUUUUCUUUUCCAGGGCAGGCAGCCCUCAGUUCUAGCUGUCUACAUUGUGAAGCUGACUCCACACAAAUCAACACAUGCUUUAAACUUGUCCUCAUAGUGUCUCAGUUGUGUACUGAUCUCUCAUCUAUUCACCAUGAUUUACAACAAAACAAAGGGGUGUGGGGAGGAACAACAGGAGACACAGAUUCUAGCACUUUGCAGUAUACAUAUUCCAUAACAACUGAAACAGAUAACUUUACGGGCGUACCACUACAAUACUAUUUAACCAUACUCUUGAAUUUCAGUUUUUGAAAUCAACUUAUGCAAAUAUAUAAAUAUUUAAGGCCAGGAAAUAUGGAAAGGGAUGUAAUAAUACUCCAGUCAAAAUGCUGCAACUACACAGAGAAGCUGUAACAACAGAUUGCUUUGUAGAAAUUUACUUCUGUUUGAAGUUCAUUGAUUUUCAUUCCAGCCGUUUAUUUUGCUAAGCAGUAGUUUUGAGCACCUAUUGAUCAUCAUGUUCUGAUGUGGCAGGCUUCUGAGAAAAAAAGUUAAACUAACUAGAACUAAUGAGCAAUUAAACUUGCUCACACAAGUACAGUUGUGGUUUAAUGGUGGCAAGCACAUGACAUGAAGAACAAUGUGUCCAUUUUCUCA